rnacentral:rRNA from 1 species
GCAUCCGAGUCAGGAGGUAGUAGUGAGCCACCUCCCAUCCGUAGUCUAUUGUACCCUGUUGCUUCGGCGGGCCCGCCGCUUGUCGGCCGCCGGGGGGGCGCCUCUGCCCCCCGGGCCCGUGCCCGCCGGAGACCCCAACACGAACACUGUCUGAAAGCGUGCAGUCUGAGUUGAUUGAAUGCAAUCAGUUAAAACUUUCAACAAUGGAUCUCUUGGUUCCGGCAUCGAUGAAGAACGCAGCGAAAUGCGAUAACUAAUGUGAAUUGCAGAAUUCAGUGAAUCAUCGAGUCUUUGAACGCACAUUGCGCCCCCUGGUAUUCCGGGGGGCAUGCCUGUCCGAGCGUCAUUGCUGCCCUCAAGCCCGGCUUGUGUGUUGGGUCGCCGUCCCCCUCUCCGGGGGGACGGGCCCGAAAGGCAGCGGCGGCACCGCGUCCGAUCCUCGAGCGUAUGGGGCUUUGUCACAUGCUCUGUAGGAUUGGCCGGCGCCUGCCGACGUUUUCCAACCAUUCUUUCCAGGUUGACCUCGGAUCAGGUAGGGAUACCCGCUGAACUUAAGCAUAUCAAUAAGCGGAGAGG